UACCCAUCGGAGAAAAAUUAUAUGGAGUAUAUAGAAGAUUAUACUAUGAAUAUAGGUUGAAAGAAUAGCCCCCUAUCGUUUGUGAUGUCUUUAGGACUUAUGAUCUUAGUAGCCAGAGGAAAAGAAAGCAAAAGUGAUUCCCGUAGCAGUGGGCAGGAGAAAUGGGAGCUGCCUAAACCGUGAAAACGGGAUUGUGGGAGAGCAAUACAAGUGUCGUGCAGCUAGGAAAAGCAGCCCGAAUGCUGCACCCUAGAUGGAGAAAGUCCAGCAGCCGAAAGCAUCACUAGCUUAGGCUCUGACUCGAGUAGCAUGGGGCACGUGGAAUCCCGUGUGAAUCAACAAGGAUGACCUUGCAAGGCUAAAUACUCCUGGGUGA
rnacentral:ncRNA from 1 species